rnacentral:rRNA from 1 species
CUAGCUACAGGCUUAACACAUGCAAGUCGAGGGGCAGCAUGAGAUAGCUUGCUAUUCAGAUGGCGACCGGCGCACGGGUGAGUAACGCGUAUCCAACCUGGCCCGUAGUAGGGAACAGCCCGGCGAAAGUCGGAUUAAUGCCCUAUGUUCUCCGACGAAGACAUCUGAGUUGGAGCAAAGAUUCAUCGCUACGGGAUGGGGAUGCGUCUGAUUAGGUAGUAGGCGGGGUAACGGCCCACCUAGCCAACGAUCAGUAGGGGUUCUGAGAGGAAGGUCCCCCACAUUGGUACUGGGACACGGACCAAACUCCUACGGGAGGCAGCAGUGAGGAAUAUUGGUCAAUGGGCGAGAGCCUGAACCAGCCAAGUAGCGUGCAAGGACGACUGCCCUAUGGGUUGUAAACUGCUUUUAUGCGGGGAUAAAGUGAGGCAUGUAUGCCUUUUUGCAGGUACCGCAUAAAUAAGGACCGGCUAAUUCCGUGCCAGCAGCCGC